rnacentral:rRNA from 1 species
UACGUAGGGUGCAAGCGUUAAUCGGAAUUACUGGGCGUAAAGCGUGCGCAGGCGGUUUUGUAAGUCUGUCGUGAAAGCCCCGGCCUCAACCUGGGAAUUGCGAUGGAGACUGCAAGGCUUGAAUCUGGCAGAGGGGGGUAGAAUUCCACGUGUAGCAGUGAAAUGCGUAGAGAUGUGGAGGAACACCGAUGGCGAAGGCAGCCCCCUGGGUCAAGAUUGACGCUCAUGCACGAAAGCGUGGGGAGCAAACAGG